rnacentral:tRNA from 1 species
UCAAAGAGUAGUUUAAUAAAAAUAAUAAUUUUGGAGAUUAUAGAUAAUAGGUUUUAUUUUCUUUG